CGGGGCGUGGCUCAGUCUGGCUAGAGCGCUUGGUUCGGGACCAAGAGGUCGGAGGUUCGAAUCCUCUCGCCCCGACCA
rnacentral:tRNA from 1 species